rnacentral:rRNA from 1 species
UACGUAGGGUGCAAGCGUUAAUCGGAAUUACUGGGCGUAAAGCGUGCGCAGGCGGUUAUGUAAGACAGGUGUGAAAUCCCAGGGCUUAACCUUGGAACUGCAUUUGUGACUGCAUAGCUAGAGUACGGUAGAGGGGGAUGGAAUUCCGCGUGUAGCAGUGAAAUGCGUAGAUAUGCGGAGGAACACCGAUGGCGAAGGCGGCGACCUGGGUAGAUACUGACGCUGAGGUGCGAAAGCGUGGGGAGCAAACAGG